AAUGAACGCUGGCGGCAGGCCUAACACAUGCAAGUCGAACGAGGUAGCAAUACCUAGUGGCGGACGGGUGAGUAACACGUGGGAACGUACCCUUUGCUACGGAAUAGCCCUGGGAAACUGGGAGUAAUACCGUAUGAGCCCGAGAGGGGAAAGAUUUAUCGGCAAAGGAUCGGCCCGCGUUGGAUUAGGUAGUUGGUGGGGUAAUGGCCUACCAAGCCGACGAUCCAUAGCUGGUUUGAGAGGAUGAUCAGCCACACUGGGACUGAGACACGGCCCAGACUCCUACGGGAGGUAGCAGUGGGGAAUCUUAGACAAUGGGGGAAACCCUGAUCUAGCCAUGCCGCGUGAUCGAUGAAGGCCUUAGGGUUGUAAAGAUCUUUCAGGUGGGAAGAUAAUGACUGUACCACCAGAAGAAGCCCCGGCUAACUCCGUGCCAGCAGCCGCGGUAAU
rnacentral:rRNA from 1 species